rnacentral:rRNA from 1 species
CCGUAAACGAUGACACCAGCGAUUAGUCGGUGUUAAUAUACGACCCGACUAGCAGCUUCCGGGAAACCAAAGUUUUUCGUUUCCGGGGGAAGUAUGGUUGCAAAGCUGAAACUUAAAGGAAUUGACGGAAGGGCACCACCAGGAGUGGAGCCUGCGGCUUAAUUUGACUCAACACGGGAAAACUCACCCGGCCCGGACACCGUAAGGAUUGGCAGACUGAGAGCUCUUUCUUAAUUCGGUGGGUGGUGGUGCAUGGCCGUUCUUAGUUGGUGGAGCGAUUUGUCUGGUUAAUUCCGAUAACGAACGAGACUCUGGCCUAUUAAAUAGUCGGUAUAUCCAGAAAAGUUUACCGUACUUCUUAGAGGGACAAACGGCGUCUAGCCGCGUGAAAUAGAGCAAUAACAGGUCUGUGAUGCCCUUAGAUGUCCGGGGCUGCACGCGCGCUACACUGAAAGAAUCAGUAUGCGCUUUAACCUAGUCCGGAAGGAUUGGGUAACCCGAGCAAAUUCUUUCGUGCUUGGGAUAGGGAAUUGCAAUUAUUUCCCUUAAACGAGGAAUUCCCAGUAAAUGCGGGUCAUAAGCUCGCGUUGAUUACGUCCCUGCCCUUUGUACACACCGCCCGUCGCUACUACCGAUUGGAUGACUUAGUGAGGUCUUAGGACCGACGUAAAGGAGCUUUCGCGAGUUCUUUUUCGUUGGAGAUUUGAUCGAACUACGUUAUCUAGAGGAAGU